CCUACGGGUGGCUGCAGUGGGGAAUAUUGCACAAUGGGCGAAAGCCUGAUGCAGCAACGCCGCGUGAAGGAAGACGGUUUUCGGAUUGUAAACUUCUAUCAAUAGGGAAGAAAGAAAUGACGGUACCUAAAUAAGAAGCCCCGGCUAACUACGUGCCAGCAGCCGCGGUAAUACGUAGGGGGCAAGCGUUAUCCGGAAUUACUGGGUGUAAAGGGGGCGCAGACGGCGAUGCAAGCCAGGAGUGAAAGCCCGGGGCCCAACCCCGGGACUGCUCUUGGAACUGCGUGGCUGGAGUGCAGGAGGGGCAGGCGGAAUUCCUGGUGUAGCGGUGAAAUGCGUAGAUAUCAGGAGGAACACCGGUAGCGAAGGCGGCCUGCUGGACUGCAACUGACGUUGAGGCCCGAAAGCGUGGGGAGCAAACAGGAUUAGAUACCCCGGUAGUC
rnacentral:rRNA from 1 species